AUAUGGAUGACACAUCAUCA
rnacentral:siRNA from 1 species